CUAAAAUCUGCAUUAGCGGGAGGGCUUGCCUCUGCUCUCUCCACUUCUUUACUGCAUCCGAUUGACACAAUCAAGACACGUGUGCAAGCAUCAACGUUAUCAUUUCCUGAAGUAAUAGCAAAGCUUCCAGAGAUUGGUGUACGGGGAGUAUAUAGGGGUUCUAUUCCAGCAAUUCUUGGACAAUUUUCAAGCCAUGGCCUACGGACAGGAAUAUUCGAAGCAAGCAAACUAGUGUUGAUCAAUUUUGC